UUUGUAUGCACAUGUAUGUAUGUAUUUAUACUGUCCAUACAUACAUGUAUAUGUAUGCAUGCGUGUGCAUUGAAUCGGCGUUGAAAUGCGAUAGGCUAAAUUGGCAGAAAAAUGUAGAAAUUAUCCAAAAUGCUUUAAAAAAUUGUUGUUACAAAUGACGGUUGCUGUGUAUACAAAUAUGACAUCUAAACACAUAAUUCGAUAAAGAUCUCAUUAA